GGACCCAUACCCAGUGGAAAAGUGCCUUGGAAGGCAUUUGCCUCAGAUCCAGGGCCUGUUUUAUUUGGAGAACAAUUGGAAAUGAUGAGAGGCCUAACAUGCAAAUUCUCCUUGGCAGCCCCCCGACGGAGGCGGGAGAGAUGCAUUUCCCAUCUGUGGGCCCACGUGCGGGAAGGACGAGGUGCAGGCCUAGACUCGCUGCGUCAACAAGGCAAGCAGGCUACUGGGUCUGUGUGUUAUUUUCUUCGGAGUAAUCAGCGUUUUCCAACCGCGAGGGCCACGGCUGUUGAAGGAUAAAAAAAAUCCAGGCCUUUGAAAAACGUCAACCAAGGAGAGGAGACAGCCUCAUGAUGAGAAAUAAAUGAAUAUAUGCACUUCCAACUUCAAAACUGGCAUAAGAACUGGCAUUCGUUUUGACAUAUAAAUGUUUAAACUAAACAUUUCUAUUUUGAGAUAAUUGGAUAAUUGUAGAUCCGCACACAGAAGAAAUAAGGCAGAGAUUUCCUAGUACCCUUAACCUGAUUUCUCCUAUGGUAAUUCCCUACAAAAUCAUGUUACAAGUAUGAGACUGACACUGAUACAGUUGAGACAUAGAAUCUGCCAUCACCAGGACGCUGCACGUUGCCCUUUUAUAACCAUCCUCUCUUCCUUUCCAUCCUAACCCUCCUUAACCCUUGGCAACUACUGGUCCCUUUCCUAAAUUUUGUAUUCCUUCCACUUCCAUCGCAUCAUACAAACAGAACCAUACAGUAUAUAAACCUUGGGGACUGUUUGUUUGUUUUUUUUUCCCACAAAGUGCAGUUCUCUGGAGGUUCAUCCAGGAUGUUUCAGACACCAGUAUUUGCUACUUUAUUUUAUUAAAAAAAUUUUUUUAAUUGAAGUAUAGUUGAUUUACAAUGUUGUGUUGGUUUCAGGGGAACAGCAAAGCAAUUCUGAUAGAUAAAUAGAUAGAUAUAUUCUUUUUUCUGAUUCUUUUCCAUUAUUUGUUAUUACAAGAUAUUGACUCUAGUUCUCUCUGCUACACAGUGGGUCCUUGUUGUUUAUAUACUAAUAUUUUAUUUAUAGUAGUUUGUAUCUACUAACCUCAAACUCCUAAUUUAGCCUCCUCUUUCCCCUUUGGUGACCAUGAAGAUUUUUUUCUAUGUCUGUGAGUCUGUUUCUAUUUUGUAAAUAAGUCCAUUUGCAUCAUUAAUGUUAAG
rnacentral:lncRNA from 1 species